rnacentral:rRNA from 1 species
GACGAACGCUGGCGGCGUGCUUAACACAUGCAAGUCGUACGGUAAGGCCCUUUCGGGAGUCCACGAGUGGCGAACGGGUGAGUAACACGUGAGUAACCUGCCCACAACUUUGGGAUAACGCUAGGAAACUGGUGCUAAUACUGGAUAUGUGCUCCUGCUGCAUGGUGGGGGUUGGAAAGCUCCGGCGGUUGUGGAUGGACUCGCGGCCUAUCAGCUUGUUGGUGGGGUAGUGGCCUACCAAGGCGGCGACGGGUAGCCGACCUGAGAGGGUGACCGGCCACAGUGGGACUGAGAUACGGCCCAGACUCCUACGGGAGGCAGCAGUGGGGAAUAUUGCACAAUGGGCGCAAGCCUGAUGCAGCAACGCCGCGUGCGGGAUAACGGCCUUCGGGUUGUAAACCGCUUUCAGCAGGGACGAAGCUUUUUGUGACGGUACCUGCAGAAGAAGCACCGGCUAACUACGUG